rnacentral:rRNA from 1 species
CCUACGGGAGGCAGCAGUGGGGAAUAUUGCACAAUGGGCGAAAGCCUGAUGCAGCGACGCCGCGUGAGGGAUGACGGCCUUCGGGUUGUAAACCUCUUUCAGCAGGGAGGAAGCGAGAGUGACGGUACCUGCAGAAGAAGCGCCGGCUAACUACGUGCCAGCAGCCGCGGUAAUACGUAGGGCGCAAGCGUUGUCCGGAAUUAUUGGGCGUAAAGAGCUCGUAGGCGGCUUGUUGCGUCGGUUGUGAAAGCCCGGGGCUUAACCCCGGGUCUGCAGUCGAUACGGGCAGGCUAGAGUGUGGUAGGGGAGAUCGGAAUUCCUGGUGUAGCGGUGAAAUGCGCAGAUAUCAGGAGGAACACCGGUGGCGAAGGCGGAUCUCUGGGCCAUUACUGACGCUGAGGAGCGAAAGCGUGGGGAGCGAACAGGAUUAGAUACCCUGGUAGUCCACGCCGUAAACGUUGGGAACUAGGUGUUGGCGACAUUCCACGUCGUCGGUGCCGCAGCUAACGCAUUAAGUUCCCCGCCUGGGGAGUACGGCCGCAAGGCUAAAACUUCAAAGUGAAGUUCGGACGGCGUAGAGACGUCGACCGAAGGCGACCACGAGGGUAGAGG